GAUGAACGCUGGCGGCGUGCCUAAUACAUGCAAGUCGAGCGAACAGACGAGGAGCUUGCUCCUCUGACGUUAGCGGCGGACGGGUGAGUAACACGUGGAUAACCUACCUAUAAGACUGGGAUAACUUCGGGAAACCGGAGCUAAUACCGGAUAAUAUAUUGAACCGCAUGGUUCAAUAGUGAAAGACGGUUUUGCUGUCACUUAUAGAUGGAUCCGCGCCGCAUUAGCUAGUUGGUAAGGUAACGGCUUACCAAGGCAACGAUGCGUAGCCGACCUGAGAGGGUGAUCGGCCACACUGGAACUGAGACACGGUCCAGACUCCUACGGGAGGCAGCAGUAGGGAAUCUUCCGCAAUGGGCGAAAGCCUGACGGAGCAACGCCGCGUGAGUGAUGAAGGUCUUCGGAUCGUAAAACUCUGUUAUUAGGGAAGAACAAAUGUGUAAGUAACUAUGCACGUCUUGACGGUACCCAAUCAGAAAGCCACGGCUAACUACGCG
rnacentral:rRNA from 1 species